UAGGAUAACACUGAAUUGCUGAUUUUACUC
rnacentral:piRNA from 1 species